GAUGAACGCUGGCGGCGUGCCUAAUACAUGCAAGUCGAGCGAACAGAUAAGGAGCUUGCUCCUUUGACGUUAGCGGCGGACGGGUGAGUAACACGUGGGUAACCUACCUAUAAGACUGGAAUAACUCCGGGAAACCGGGGCUAAUGCCGGAUAAUAUUUAGAACCGCAUGGUUCUAAAGUGAAAGAUGGUUUUGCUAUCACUUAUAGAUGGACCCGCGCCGUAUUAGCUAGUUGGUGGGGUAAUGGCUUACCAAGGCAACGAUACGUAGCCGACCUGAGAGGGUGAUCGGCCACACUGGAACUGAGACACGGUCCAGACUCCUACGGAAGGCAGCAGUAGGGAAUCUUCCGCAAUGGGCGAAAGCCUGACGGAGCAACGCCGCGUGAGUGAUGAAGGUCUUCGGAUCGUAAAACUCUGUUAUUAGGGAAGAACAAAUGUGUAAGUAACUGUGCACGUCUUGACGGUACCUAAUCAGAAAGCCACGGCUAACUACGUGCCAGCAGCCGCGGUAA
rnacentral:rRNA from 1 species